rnacentral:tRNA from 1 species
GGGCCUGUAGUUUAAUGGGAAAACGGAGCAUUCGCAUUGCUCUGAUGUGGGUUCGAUUCCCACCAGGUCCA